AGAAACCCACCUGCAGAGGACUCAAGAGGCCCCCAGAUGCCAGCUCCCAGAGCUGGGAGCAAGGUCCUCUCCCACUGGCGCCAAUCCCAGGUUCCUUCUGCAACAGCAGCCCCUGCCCUCUGGCUCUCCUGAAUCCCACUGGUUAAGGAAGCGCGCGCGUUGAGUAAGGCUGGGCCUUCCAGAGGACUUUCAACACGAGUUAGGGAACAGCGAUGGAUCUCAACAGCUCUCAGGGGGACCCCGGCAUCUCAGGGAAGCAGGCAGGGAGCCAGGGUCUCCAGGGCUCCCCGUGAGCUGCUGCGCAGAGGCAGGAUGAGCCCAGAGCAGGCCCCAGACUCUGCUAUGUGCUGGCCAGGAGAUGGAGCUGGACACAGCGCCAAGGCCUGAAGGUGCAGCCUGCAGGACAGCUGGCCCGCUGGACUCAUGGGGCCGAGAUCCUGUGGGGCCUCUUGGGUGUCCAGAGACAGUGCCACCAACUCCUCUGGUGGCCUAGCUCCAACCAGGGUCUGCUUCUGAAGAAAUGAGUGGGCAGCCCCUUCCUGAUCACCUCUCAAGGGUGGCAUCAUCCCUCCGCAGAAGCCAGAACAUUCCCGAACGUGAGCCACCGGGAACAGACACACUUGGCAACGUGAGAAGUCUCCUCUGUCACUGUUCAGAUGAAAGUGGAACAGGAGGGCCGACCGCUGGUGCUGCCCGUCCUGCCGAAGCCUCCGAGCCGUCCACAGCCGUCGCACCGGCAGUGCUGCUGCAUACGGACCCUCCCGCUCUGUGGGCGAGAAGAGCCACCUCUUCUACCUUUCAAAGCCAUCUGGGCCUUCCUGGAAGCCAGGGAAGAUGACUGUGGAUGCUCACAGGUGGGUGGAAUAUUCUGGGCAGUCCCAGGGACACAGCAGCCCUCACAAAGCCCACUUUCGCCAGCACCCAACACUGAACCCUCCAGAACUCAUCGGCAAAUGACCUGCAAGAGGGACAGAGUCCUGGAAUCCACAUCAGUAGAUGCCCCUCCUCCAGACCCCCGGCGUCACUCACGAGGACACCAGGGACGCGGUAAGCUCUCAUAGGAUUCAAGCCAGCAAGCCCAGAAGUAGGGCGUUACCUCUGAGGAACCACGGCCUGCAGGAAGGAGCAGCCCAGGAGCCGCGCCUCCAGGGGCCUGGCCCCCUCUACCUGGUGGCAAGCACGCACGUGCUGCCCCAGGGGAACAGUCCCCUCUGGGUGGGGCCCAAGCUGCAGCGCCUGCACAACCCCAGCAAGGAGGAGGGGCGCAGGAGGCUGCAGGACCUCAGCCAAGCUGGGCCUCCGCACCUUCACACCUUGCUGACAGCCAAGCCGACCCGGGGCCCUGGGCGCACUUCUGGCCUCCCUGAGACCAGGGGCCACCUCGCCCACACUGCAGUCAGCUUCCUGCACAGCCUCUGGCUGAGAUGAGGCCCGGGCCACUCCUUGUCGGCUGGCCCAGCUGGGCGGCAGGAGCCCACCCUGCCCCACACUCUGACAAGUUGCAGACAGCCCGGCCUGCCCCUGUCCACCCUUCCCGUGGGCCCUGGGUGGGGACAGGGAUAACCCAAGGACCUCAUGACAUAACCAGGAGCCACGCCAUCCAUGACCCUGCAGGGAGCUGCCACAAAGCUGAAGGCCUCCAAGUCCACGAGGGCCACAGAGAAGAGCCACAAGAGGGGGACGGCCACCCCCCGAAUGCGCUGGGCCCUGCCUGCCACCUCGGACACUACCUGGCCUGCGCCCGACCCGCCCCCACCUCCCAGCAGACCUUCUGUGUCCCCACUCCUUUGACAGAGGCCACACCUAGUCCAACGGUCCCCUCAGUGGUGCUGGCCACAGCUGGCUUGAAGUGGACCUAGAAAUGCAGAAUCCACCUUUCCACGUGUACCUGAGUCCCAC
rnacentral:lncRNA from 1 species